AUAUUAGCCGCGGUUAUUUGGUGAGCGCUGGUGGUUUAUUCUUCCGUGGAGUUAAGGGUUCCGUGGACAUCUCAAGUCUUCAGGGUCUUCCAUCUGGAACUAUAUAAAGUUCAGAAAACAUGUCUCGAAGAUAUGACUCCAGGACCACUAUAUUUUCUCCAGAAGGUAAAAUAGAAAUUGUUUAAUCUGCCUCAAGUUUAAAAAUAGAUGUGUUAGACUUUUAGAAAAAAAAAUUACAAACUAUUUUUGGUAGUUGCAGAGUUCAUCUUUUUUGUACUUUGAAGCAAUUAUGGUCACCAGGUUGGUUAUACCAUAGAAGAGUGAAAGUGGAAAUUUGUUUCUAGCUUGCUUCAUUGCUGAUUUCUUUUGGGCCGGUGGUGCAAGAGCACAGAGGAGAGUCUUGGCUUCUCACUGCUUUUGUUUUGUAGGUCGCUUAUACCAAGUUGAAUAUGCCAUGGAAGCUAUUGGACAUGCAGGCACCUGUUUGGGAAUUUUAGCAAAUGAUGGUGUUUUGCUUGCAGCAGAGAGACGCAACAUCCACAAGCUUCUUGAUGAAGUCUUUUUUUCUGAAAAAAUUUAUAAACUCAAUGAGGACAUGGCUUGCAGUGUGGCAGGCAUAACUUCUGAUGCUAAUGUUCUGACUAAUGAACUAAGGCUCAUUGCUCAAAGUAUUUAUUACAGUAUCAGGAGCCAAUACCUUGUGAGCAGUUGGUUACAGCACUGUGUGAUAUC
rnacentral:sRNA from 1 species